UGAUGUGCUUGGGAAGAUGGGAAUUGCCCCAGUGGAACAGUCCUGAGUUCUCUCCCGUGCCAGCGCCCUCCCUUGGAGCAUAACAGGACCUAGGUAUUUUAUAAUACAAGUAAGAAACAUCCUCUAAAUUUCUUGAUGGAAAGCAGGACAACUCCUAACACUGGAUUCCAAAGCAAAUGGGAAGAGUGCACGAUGCAGGUUUCUGCACGGCUUUCCUCAACUCAGUACCGUGGAGAGAAGAAGCUACGCUGCCUAGACUGCUGCGUGAAAACAAAAUAAGCGAAUGUUGCUGCUCUCCUGCCAUUGAAUGGUGUGGUUUAUGUUCACAGAAGAGAGGAAGGGUGGACCUGUGACCAGCCUGAACGGCUGGCCUGGCCAUCAGGAAGCACAGCACCGCCUGCCCCCUGUCUAUGACUCAGAGACCCGGCAUGGAGCAUCCGAGGGGCUUCUUCCAGAAGACCAGCCCCUGAGCGGUGGUCGAUCUCGAAGGAGGACCUCUCGCCACCCACUGCUGACCCCUGACAUGGGAGAGGAGGCCACCACGCUGCUUGGACGCUUGCCAUGGGGGGACACCAUGGGUUAGGAAAGGGGUUCUGCCCCCACAGGACCUUCUGAAGCACUUUGGCCUGGCGAUGAAGUCCCCGUGUGUGAGGAAAGCCUCUUGCUGUGGUUUUGUGAAGAACACGGUGGUGGACGACAGCCUUCCCAGUGUGGAAGGCACUUUCCGACUCCAGCACCCAGCCCUGCCCCUGCAGCUCCACGUAUUUCAGGUCCCUACGGACCUGUGGGGCAGGUGCUGGGCUAGGGGUGAAAUGGAAAUGCAGCUGCAAGCUCCUCAAGAGACCCUCUUUCUUGCAUCUGCAUCUCCUCGGUGAUUAAUCUCAUCUUCCAUUAAAGGUGCAGCAUGCCUCUUUCAGCCAGGCCCACGAGAAAGGAAGCACAAUCGUACACAACAGCCCUCUCCUCAUCAUGUUUCACGAACAACCUUGACCUGCACUGGAUUUUCAAGGGCUGGCUACACAAAAUUCCCAGGUUUACCAGUAGAAAGAGAAGAAAAAAAAAAAAAGUUGAUCAGAUCUCAGUUGGGUACACGUCACAACUGGUUUUUCCUCUCUCCUGUUCAGCAUGGCAGACUGACAGGCUGCAAAAUAGGUCCAGCUGGAAAGAAGAUAAUUUUGUUCUGCUUUGCCCAGCCUCAUUUUUCAGCGCUGAAUGUCCAGUUGUGUACCUGUAUGAAACCUCUGAGGCCCUGGAGGCUCCACACAGCGAUGAUUUAUUCAUUUUUAAUAGGCAAACUUUUGUCCAUAUUACAUUUCUCCGUGCCUUUUAGUCACUAUCCCAGACUAAAGCAACCAAGGGGAGAUUUAAAACAACCGAACUCUCCCCUCACACUUAGAUUCUGCCCAAAGCACCGGAGCAGCUGGAGCGUUUACAAAGUCUCCGCACCAGCAGGUUUGCUCUUCGCUCCGCGAGCGCUCUUCCCUCGUUGCACUGCCAUGCAGCAGGGCUGCUCCGCAGCAGGUCUCAGGGGGGCUGUGAUCAAAACGCACAGGCUGAGCAGUGUGGUUUUGCAGCUCUCUUCAGACAGCCUUGUGCUUUUUACUCCCACCCAACUCUAAAGUGGAAUUGCCUAUGAGGAAAUUGUGUAUUUCAUAAGAAAGGAAUGUUUUUCAUCCUUUCCCCACAAUUCUGUGGCCAAGCCUCACUUAUAGUCAGUUAGACUUUGCACCCCCAUGACCUGAAUGCUCAUUUCUAAAGGAUUCCUGUUGUCCAGUUUCCCUUGGAUCCUGUGCUCGGCUAGCUGGCUGACUUCCUGCACCUUGGCUUCUUGGAGAGCACGUGAGGUAGCUCUGCAGGCCCUCCGGUGUAGAAGCAGAGGAUGCGCAAAUACCCUUUGUUCAGUGUCCUGUUACCACAGGCAGCUCCCCAUGGGCAGGAUCCUGGGGCAGACCAGGUCAGGGCAGGGUGAGCUUGGAACAGGCUUAGGAGAUCCCUCACUCGUGCUAUGGGCUCUGUGGCGGUGCAGGAAAACAAGCGGGACACGUGCCUGGCUGCGUGGGCACCCACGCCUCUGCGGCCCAGAGUCCUUCCACACGCACCACUUCACAGGCCAGGGUGGUGCAUGAGGAGAAACCCUGCUCCUCUUUCACCUUCGACAUUUCCACAUGGUACGAAAAACUCUUGGCCUUUCGCCAGAAGUUAGGAUUUGAUGACUUUUUUCUAUUUUUCCUUUUUUCUUUUUUUUUUUUCCCCCACACAGACUAAACAUUCACAUGUCUUAUCCUGUCCGAGCAGUUGUUUCAAUAGCUGUCCUGCCAACGGAGACACUUGGGUUUAAGUGGCUGAUCCUCUGCAACCAUGACUAUUUUUAAUGAAAGAUUAUGUCUCCGUAAGGCCAAAAUGUUUGUUAUCCAGCUUUGGCUUCUGAAAGAAACCCUGCAAAUGUUUCUGAAUCAGAUGUGUGUGAAAUGCUGUGCAAUUUCUCUAAUACCGAGGUGGAAAAUCUGUCCUUUCCCUAUUAAUAGACUAAAAAUCAAAACAGAGGUGGGGGGUUAAAGCCAAAUGGUUUCAUACACUAUGAAUUCAUCAGAGUUUCACAUUCCCAGCAAGGGGAAUAUUUGAAAGCAGAAGAAAUGAAUAGGAAUAAAUAAAAAAAAUGAAACCAAAUAAAUACAUCUGUUU